rnacentral:rRNA from 1 species
GGGGAAUAUUGCGCAAUGGGGGAAACCCUGACGCAGCAAUACCGCGUGAGUGAAGAAGGUUUUCGGAUCGUAAAGCUCUGUUAUUGGGGAAGAAAAAAAGACGGUACCCAAGAAGAAAGUCCCGGCUAACUACGUGCCAGCAGCCGCGGUAAUACGUAGGGGACAAGCGUUGUCCGGAUUUACUGGGCGUAAAGGGCACGCAGGCGGUUUUUUAAGUCAGGGGUGAAAUCCUGGGGCUCAACCUCAGAACUGCCCUUGAUACUGGCGAUCUCGAGUUCGAGAGAGGUUGGUGGAACUCCGAGUGUAGAGGUGAAAUUCGUAGAUAUUCGGAAGAACACCAGUGGCGAAGGCGGCCAACUGGCUCGAUACUGACGCUGAGGUGCGAAAGCAUGGGGAGCAAACA